rnacentral:piRNA from 1 species
GGUAAAUAGUGCAUAGCUUCCUGGUA